rnacentral:rRNA from 1 species
GAUGAACGCUGGCGGCGUGCCUAAUACAUGCAAGUCGAGCGAACAGAUGAGGAGCUUGCUCCUCUGACGUUAGCGGCGGACGGGUGAGUAACACGUGUAUAACCUACCUAUAAGACUGGGAUAACUUCGGGACACCGGAUCUUAUCGCGGAGAAUAUAUUGAACCGCAUGGUUCAAUAGUGAAAGACGGUUUUUCUGUCACUUAUAGAUGGAUCCGGGCUGCAUGAGAUAGUUGGUAAGGUAACGGCUUACCACGGCAACGAUGCGUAGCCGACCUGAGAGGGGGAUAGCCGACAUGGGAAGUGGAACAGGGUCCAGGGUACUACGGGAGGCACCAGACGGGAAUGGUCGGCAAUGGGGGAGAGUCUGACGGAGCAAGCGCAAGUCAGAUAUGGAAGUCUUCGGAGCGUAAAACUGGGUUAUGAGGGAAAAACAAAUGUGUAAGUAACUAUGCCCGUAGUGACGGUAACUAAUAAGAAAGCAACGGCUAACUACGUG